UAAUUACAUAUUCCUUGGACUUAUCGUUUAAGCAUAUAACAUUUAUAUAAGACGGCUUAAACAAUAAUCUUUGCCCUUGAUAUUAAACUAGAUUAGUUUAACAUGUGAAAUGUCCGUAAAGUAUCAUCAUAUGAUUGGUUUUAGGGCACAUUACCAACAGGUUUAUGCCUUUCCCAUUCCACCGACCUCGCUUAUGGCCAUUUACAGAAAUGUAGAGCAAGUCAAGGGGAAUAACUUUUAUACCUGGGCUGAAGUCCAAUUCGGCCGAAAAACACCUAUAAUUGCCCACAAACCGCUGGAAACCCUUAAUUUUGGGUGUUCUUGAUUCGACUCCAAAACAGCUCUGAUGCCCCAACCAAUGCUUGGGCCUUGCUCUUGGGGUUGAGGGAAGUCUAUUGGUGGUGGGGAUCGAUGGUAAUCGUUGUCAAAAUCACCAGAAAAUGGUGAAACCCACCGAACAAACCGGAACUUUGUGUCUUCAAAUUUUAAAAUUGGGUUAGAAAUUUAGAAAUAUAGUCCACAGGGACGUUGGGCUCAUCGAGAUCUUUCCAUGGACACCAAUAUCACCUAAAACGGAGGUUGGAUGAGGAAGAUAAGGCCGAGUCAAAAUUGAUGGUUCAAAGGUCGAAAAUGACCCGUCUCCUUCCUCCUUUCCCUCAUUUCC
rnacentral:lncRNA from 1 species